UACGGGAGGCAGCAGUGGGGAAUAUUGCACAAUGGGCGCAAGCCUGAUGCAGCCAUGCCGCGUGUAUGAAGAAGGCCUUCGGGUUGUAAAGUACUUUCAGUCGUGAGGAAGGUGUUAAGGUUAAUAACCUUAGCAAUUGACGUUAGCGACAGAAGAAGCACCGGCUAACUCCGUGCCAGCAGCCGCGGUAAUACGGAGGGUGCGAGCGUUAAUCGGAAUUACUGGGCGUAAAGGGCACGCAGGCGGUUAAUUAAGUUGGAUGUGAAUCCCCGGGCUUAACCUGGGAAUGGCAUUCAAGACUGGUUAGCUAGAGUCUUGUAGAGGGGGUAGAAUUCCAUGUGUAGCGGUGAAAUGCGUAGAGAUGUGGAGGAAUACCGGUGGCGAAGGCGGCCCCUGGACAAAGACUGACGCUCAUGUGCGAAGCGUGGGGAGCAAACAGGGAUUAGAUACC
rnacentral:rRNA from 1 species